CCAGGAACCUCACCUGUGCAGUGGAUCAGCCCAGACUGAUCCAGUUGCAGGACCUAGCCCUAAUUCUUACAGCAGUGAUAGGUUGCCUAGAAAUGUCAUGUGUAUGGGGGUAAGUUCUGGAGACAAAGGAGCUAUGCUGCUUUACGCUAUCUGGGGGAUCUAGCCCAUUGAUUUAUACCAGCUGGAGACUGGCACAUGAAGAGAAGGAGUGAUCUGAAAAACAGGGAAUUAGCGAAACCUACGAAAGGUGACCCAGGACCCAGUCCUGCAGUCGAUGACCUAUGGGAGAUUCCUCUGACUUAGAUGAUACAGGUAAACCCUGCCAUGCACCAAGAUGAAAUGAGGAUCCGAUCCUAGCAGGGCUUCAGAGGUGCUGAUUUUAUUUUCUUCUCGCCCCAUAGAUUUUAAAAGAGGAAGUAUUUGUAGCUCAAUGAUCUCGCUCCCUGGGCCACAUCCCUUUCCUCCACCUCAGCUUAAAGGCUGAAGCCCCCCUGACAGGACACUAUACUGCCCAGGAAGGAAAUCCUGCACAUGGCUUGGUCUGGGGGUAAGGCCCCCCCGGGAGGAUUAUAAUGAAAGCCCAGCUACCGAUGGGGAACCGGUGGGGUUCCAAGGGCUCCAAUUCGCAUCUCCAUCCUUGGAUGCUUACCAAAGAGUUUGCCUGCUCCGUGCAAUGCAGGGAUGCUGGUAGGGCCACCUGAAGGAAUUAAUGUUCUGUAUACGGCCUAUCACACCGGGGUCCUGAUCCUGGACUUGGACUCCGAGACGCGAGCGCCAUGCCAAUAACCAAGAAGAACAAUGUAAUCCAGCAAUUAACAGGCCCACCCAAGGGCCUUAGACCAAAAGGUGCAAAGGCUCCGCUUUUCUCUGAUUGGUUUUGGAGACAAUUUGCUGGAACCUGGUUUUGUUACAAUUGAAAGUGGAUGGUCAGAUCCCCCUCGCCCCAUGAAACCGACCAACCGAGCAUCCCCAAAGCCUUCCCCUGGGAGUGAUGGGCUCUUGCUGCUAUGGAUGGGUUAAGAGGAUGCCGAAUCUCUCUGAAACUCUUGUACUUCAAACCAGCUUCAGCAGGGCUUGGAGUUGUAAGGUGCGGGUUUACCUGGGCCAUGUAACAGUGGUAGGGGCAGCUCCCGCUGUCUGCCAUACAAACCCCCUCAUUAAGCAUCAGUUCAGGGGAGCUAGACAUGUUACGAGCGGGGAAUAACGUUUGCAUCGACCCCUGUUCCUACUUGCAAGGCGGAGGACGCACAAGGAGAAAGAAAAACGAACCCUGC